GCCGAAAUUCUAGUUCUUUUUUUCAUCAGGACGUACAAAACAAAACAUUUGAAAAGGCCAGUAAGGGAGAUUGAAGGCCGCAUGGACACUAUAGAAGCAGUACCGCAAGGGAAAGAAAUAAAGCAAUAAAAAGCAAAGAUAAAACCUUGUACCUUUUGCAUCAUGGUUUAGCAAGACACGCUGAGCAAGGCGCCCCGAGCUCGGCACCCCGAAACCAAGUGAGCUACCCCACAACAGGAAACAAACCCGUCUCUGUAGCAAAAGAGUGGGGAGAUUGUCGGGUAGCGGUGAAAAGCCUAUCGGACUUGGCGAUAGCUGGUUGCCCGAAAUUGAACCUAAGUUCUACCUUGAAGCUGUCGCCGCUAAGCCGGAGAUCAAGGGAACUCAUUAGGGGUACAGCCCUAAUGAACGGGGACACAACCCUCACCUGAGAGUAAGCCGUAAAAUUUUUACCGUGGGCUUUUAAGCGGCCAUCAAUAAAAACAGCGUCAAAGCGCUCAACCGCUAAUUCAAAACGCAACCACCACCUCCAGCAAGAAUCAGGGCAACUCUACAUCUGUAGAAAAACCAAUGCUAAAACUACUAAUAAGGGACCAACCCUCUAAGCACGCCCAUCAGUUGGAACGGACCGACCCGCCAACAGUUAUCAAUAACCCAAAGCAAACCCAAAUCACGGACCUUUCACUAGCUGUGACACCAACACCGGCAUGCCUCAAAGAAAGAUAAAAAGCCACAGAAGGAACUCGGCAAGCACAGACUCCAACUGUUUACCAAAAACAUAACCUUUAGCCCACCCAGUAUUAAAGGCAUCGCCUGCCCAGUGAGAGAACCUCUUUAACGGCCGCGGUACCCUAACCGUGCGAAGGUAGCAUAAUCACUUGUCUAUUAAUCAUAGACUGGCAUGAAAGGCUGCAUGAGAGUCAAACUGUCUCCUGUGGCCCAUCAAUGAAACUGAUCUUACAGUCAAAAAGCUGUAAUACCCCCAUAAGACGAGAAGACCCUGUGAAACUUUCAACGACCCCUUUCCCCAGGAGAGGGUACUUUUAGUUGGGGCAACUUUGGAAAAAACCCAACUUCCAAACACCUGAGCACCCACCAUUGCACGGCCAACAAGCCUUAAUUAUACGACCCAGUACACCUGAUAAAUGAACCAAGCUACUCCAGGGAUAACAGCGCCAUCUUCUUCAAGAGCCCAUAUCAAAAAGAAGGUUUACGACCUCGAUGUUGGAUCAGGGCACCCCAGUGGCGCAGCCACUACUAAAGGUUCGUUUGUUCAACGAUUAAUAGC
rnacentral:rRNA from 1 species